UACGUAGGGGGCAAGCGUUGUCCGGAUUUAUUGGGCGUAAAGAGCUCGUAGGCGGUUUGGUAAGUCGGAUGUGAAAUCUCCAGGCUCAACCUGGAGGGGUCAUUCGAUACUGCCAUGACUAGAGUUCGGUAGGGGAGUGUGGAAUUCCUGGUGUAGCGGUGGAAUGCGUAGAGAUCCGGAAGAACACCAGUGGCGAAGGCGGUUAGCUGGGCAGUUGCUGACACUGAUGCGCGACAGCGUGGGGAGCAAACAGG
rnacentral:rRNA from 1 species